rnacentral:rRNA from 1 species
AUUGAACGCUGGCGGAAUGCUUUACACAUGCAAGUCGAACGGCAGCACGGACUUCGGUCUGGUGGCGAGUGGCGAACGGGUGAGUAACAUAUCGGAACGUAUCCAAUAAUGGGGGAUAACGAGUCGAAAGAUUCGCUAAUACCGCAUACGCCCUACGGGGGAAAGCUGGGGACCUUCGGGCCUGGCGUUAAUGGAGCGGCCGAUAUCUGAUUAGCUAGUUGGUGAGGUAAAGGCUCACCAAGGCGACGAUCAGUAGCUGGUCUGAGAGGACGACCAGCCACACUGGAACUGAGACACGGUCCAGACUCCUACGGGAGGCAGCAGUGGGGAAUUUUGGACAAUGGGCGCAAGCCUGAUCCAGCCAUUCCGCGUGAGUGAAGAAGGCCUUCGGGUUGUAAAGCUCUUUCGCAAGGGAAGAAAACUUAGCCACUAACAUUGGUUGAGGUUGACGGUACCUUGAUAAGAAGCACCGGCUAACUACGUGCCAGCCGCCGCAGUAA